AUUGAACGCUGGCGGCAGGCUUAACACAUGCAAGUCGAGCGAGCGGCGGACGGGUGUGUACUUUCUGGGAACCUGCCUGAUGGAGGGGGAUAACUACUGGAAACGGUAGCUAAUACCGCAUACCAUCAGAUGUGCCCAGAUGGGGUUAGCUAGUAGGUGGGGUAAUGGCUCACCUAGGCGACGCUCCCUAGCUGGUCUGAGAGGAUGACCAGCCACACUGGAACUGAGACACGGUCCAGACUCCUACGGGAGGCAGCAGUGGGGAAUGUUGCACAGUGGGCGCAAGCCUGGUGCAGCCAUGCCGCGUGAGUGAAGAAGGCCUUCGGGUUGUAAAGCACUUUCAGCGAGGAGGCGGUACUCGGAGAAGAAGCACCGGCUAACUCCGUGCCAGCAGCCGCGGUAAUAC
rnacentral:rRNA from 1 species